AGGUGGAGGUACCCACUCCUUUACAACCUGAAGCCUAGUGAUUAAGAUACUCACAUGGGAUGUGAAAGAUCCACUUUAAUUUCUUUUUAGGCCUGUUGAGAUAAAGGGAUUUGGACAAGGAUCUCCUCAGGUUCUUCCUCCCAUGAAAAUCUGGUAGUUACUCCUUUAAAUCUGGGGAGAGAAUCAGCUGACACCCACAGCGCUAGAAGGCUAUGCCAUUCAUUCUUCCUUCUAUCUGUGUAGACACAUCUUCAGAGGGGACAGGGCCAACUACUGACAAAUUCUCCACCCAUCACCAAGCCAGGGUGUGAAAAUAGAAGGAAGCCAACAUCAACUACUGUGAAGUGAACUGCCCUGCUGAAGCUGGAUGAUCUUGGGGUGGACAAAAUUUGGGAGAGUGCCUGAAAUCUUGGCUCCUGCAGGAACCAAUUUGUGCAGGGGAUGACUGGAAGCCUGGGGAGACCUGGUCAGCAGUGUGAAA